rnacentral:lncRNA from 1 species
AGUCUGACGGUGGUUCGCUACUCUGGCAGCAGCCUAUGUCAAGGUCCGGAAGGAGAAAUCGUGACCGUUGAUUUGAGCGAGGGAUUCGGAUCGUCGAGGUCUUCGGAUGAGGAGUGUUUGGCGGAGGUUAGGAAAGGGAUUGCGGGGGAAGAAGGAUCGAUUUGCUAUCAGGAGUUGGCGGUGAAGAGUGCGGCGGAGACAGCAGAGUCGAUCCGAGGGUUCAGCAAGUG